rnacentral:rRNA from 1 species
GACGAACGCUGGCGGCGUGCUUAACACAUGCAAGUCGAACGGAAAGGCCCUGCUUUUGUGGGGUGCUCGAGUGGCGAACGGGUGUGUAACACGUGAGUAACCUGCCCUGGACUUUGGGAUAACUUCAGGAAACUGGGGCUAAUACCGGAUAGGAGAUCCUGCUGCAGGGUGGGGGUUGGAAAGUUUAGGCGGUUGGGGAUGGACGGGCGGCUUAUCAGCUUGUUGGGGGGGUAGUGGCUUACCAAGGCUUUGACGGGUAGCCGGCCUGGGAGGGUGACCGGCCACAUUGGGACUGCGGUACGGCCCAGACUCCUACGGGAGGCAGCAGUGGGAAAUCUUGCCCAGUGAGCGGAAGCCUGAUGCAGCGACGUCGCGUGCGUGAUGACGGCCUGCGGGUUGUGAACCGCUUUCGCCUGUGACGCAGCGUGAGUGACGGUAAUGGGUAAAUAAGCACCGGCUAACUACGUG